CCUACGGGUGGCAGCAGUGGGGAAUAUUGCGCAAUGGGCGAAAGCCUGACGCAGCGACGCCGCGUGCGGGAUGAAGGUCUUCGGAUCGUAAACCUCUGUCAGCAGGGAAGAACGGUCACUGUGCUAAUCAGCAGUGAAUUGACGGUACCUGCAAAGGAAGCACAGGCUAACUCCGUGCCAGCAGCCGCGGUAAUACGGAGGGUGCGAGCGUUAAUCGGAAUUACUGGGCGUAAAGCGCUCGUAGGCGGUAUGUCAAGUCAAGGGUGAAAUCCCCGCGCUCAACGUGGGAACUACCGUUGAAACUGGCAAACUGGAGUGUGUGAGAGGAUAGUGGAAUUUCAGGUGUAGGGGUGAAAUGCGUAGAUAUCUGGAGGAACAUCAGUGGCGAAGGCGACUAUCUGGCACAUAACUGACGCUGAGGAGCGAAAGCGUGGGUAGCAAACAGGAUUAGAUACCCCUGUAGUC
rnacentral:rRNA from 1 species